ACGAGCACUAGCACACGAAUAGAUUUUCCACAACGUUAAGCAUAUGCAAACAUCUAAAUUCUACGGUUCUACAUUCGAUUCCAUUCGAUUCGAUUACGAUUGCCCUCGUUUUUCAGUUUUCUUCGAGAUCCGUUUCUAUGGCUAAAAUAAAUCUUUGGUUGGGUAAACUCCGUGACUCUGUUCUGUCCAGGCUGCAGCAGGGCGAUCCAAUAAUUCCACCCAUCGAAGCUAACAAAAUGAUACCGAGGCCUCAAAAUGGAUUCGUCAGCCGAGCCCUCUACUACCGAGGAUACUACAUUAGGCGUUAAAGGAUUCGUGCCUAACAUGAAAUUCAGUAUAAAUUGAAAAUUUUACACACCGGACUCGUAGUCUCGGAUUAACCAAAUCGAGCCUUGAAACACCGGCUAUGUUACAAAUUAGCUCAGUAAUUUCUUGAACUUUAACAAAUCAUCAGCAGUGAAAUAAGCAUGUGCAACAUUUGGUCUAAAAUCAAUCAAUCAAUAAACAUUUGUACCUUU
rnacentral:lncRNA from 1 species